rnacentral:lncRNA from 12 species
UUGACCACUGAGGUCUAGUUUUCAUUUUCUCUGAAAUACUGUUUUUAUGAAAACUAUCUAUAAAUGACCCUCACCUCAGUGUUACAAAGAAGAUUAGAUUAAAAGUGCCUCAGGGAGACUUGGGUGAGCAAUCUCAGAGUAACUAACUUGGGAAAGGGAGGAGGAAAAAGGAGACUGGAGAUCCAGCAAGGAAUGGGCCCUGGAACCAGCACGGUGUCCGUCGGUCAGCGGGCGCGAGUGCGCCAAGGAGAAGACGGUGACAGAAAGUCAACACAGUCACAUUCACGAGAGUAAAUUCAUUUUGAGUUCAUGAAAGCAGCAUUCUCCCAACCUCCCCACAUAUAAGACCUUAGA